GACUGUUUAGCAAAAACACAGGGCUCUGCUAAGUCGGCUUCAAGACGACGUAUAGGGUCUGACGCCUGCCCGGUGCCUGAAGGUUAAGUGGAGGGGUGCAAGCUCCGAAAUGAAGCCCAGGUAAACGGCGGCCGUAACUAUAACGGUCCUAAGGUAGCGAAAUUCCUUGUCGGGUAAGUUCCGACCUGCACGAAUGGCGUAACGACUUCCCCACUGUCUCCAGGACAUGCUCAGCGAAAUUGAAUUCUCCGUGAAGAUGCGGAGUACCCGCGGUUAGACGGAAAGAC
rnacentral:rRNA from 1 species